GCCUUUUAAAAAUCAUAGGCAUGCACUGGGAACCAACCUUUUAAAAGAUAUAUUUCGCAAAAGCAUAGGCUGGUCAGUUUAAUCCUAAUUCGAAGGUAUCUAAGGCUUGUGCCUCAACAAGCUUGCUGAAGCGAAGUUACCAUGAAAAACCUCCAUAGAAAAUAUUAGAGGGCAUAUAAUCAUUGAGCCCCAACAAUAUUUGUCCAACCAGAAUGCAUAAAAUGUGUCAUCAACCAGGAUCAAACAUGUUGAAGUAUAAAGCAACAACUGUUCAGCAGAAAAUAGUAACAUCUACUAAUUAAAUUAUUCACAAUAUUUUUAACUGUUUGAUUCAGUGUGAU
rnacentral:lncRNA from 1 species